GGAUAGUUAUGUACUGUUGAAGGGGACACUCCUCUGGUACACUAUUGCAUGCCUGGAAUUCCAUGGUAUUCUUUGUGAUGUCACUAGUGUUAUGGAAACAGAAGCUGCCCUUGUGGUAUUUUGUUAAUGCUUAUUGUUUUAGACACAGACAUGUUUUCUAGGAUUAUCGAGUUAUUUACAGGAAAAACAGAGUGCAUUGAGAGAUGAGAGAGAAAAAAUGAUAUUAGGACUUCUUUCUUGUUAUAAAUAUGCAAAAUAAAUAAUCUGGUGUAAAGCAGAGAGAGUAAGCCCUGAGCCAGUACUGGGGAACUUCCUGGAGAAGCUGUGCUUGGGUCAGACCUUCUAGGAGCAGGACUUAUGGUCUGAAACAUCUGGACUUUUAAAGAAGGGACCAAGCGUCAAGAAUAUCUGAUGAAUAUUUGGCAGACAGCCAGAAAUUGACAAGCAUGCAGGUCUGCUGGGAAGGCAUCAUGCCAACCUUCCACCAUCAAUGAGCAAGUUCAGCAGAUUAAGAAGUAGGAGAAAUUGACUAUUGAGCUCAAGAAGAAAACCUAAAAGCAGAAGCUGUGUUUGAAUAACAGACGAGAUAUGGCAAGCAGUGUGUGAGCUCUCAUCCUGGAUUUUAAUAGAGAGAGAUGCAUUUUCUGUCCUCAGAGGAACACAGAAAGUUGGUCAGCUACAGAAGCACAGUAACUUAAACUUAGAUAAGUAAACUUUUGUUUUUUUAUUUAUUUUAAAGAUUUAUUUUAUUUGAUUUUUAUGAGUAUACUGUACCUGUCAGACUCACCAGACUCACCUGUCAUUAUGAAUGGUUGGAUGCCACGAUGAGUACACUUGGAAUUGAACUCAUGACAUUUGGAAAGACAGGCAGUGUUCUUAAAUGCUGAAUAAACUUCCUAGUCUAAACUACUACUACUACCACUACUACUACUACUACUACUAC